UUCCAAAGUCUAUUAAUAAAGUGUAAUGAAUGAAGUUGAAUGAAGCUUCAUUCCAUGGCUCCUUCGUGACAGAAGGAAACUGCUGCCUGCCUGCUGUGUGUUAAUAGAAGGAGCAAAAAGCCCCUUAAAGCUGACAUUAUAUGGGCUCUGUGGUCCUUACGUGGUGCACGUUCUGGUCUGUGAAUGGUUACUUCCAUAUGCCCCAGGCUCAUAAAUGACAGCCCAACCAUCAGCUGUAAUAAUUUGUCUGCCUCUCAUAAGCCAUGAACUCAUUCAGCUCUUGUCAAAGUUCUUUAAGGGACAUAAUUGUUGCUUCUGCAUCUGUCUGGAGUUCUUUAAUUGAACAGAUAAUAAGGGGGAUCUGUCACUAUCAACCUUCCAGCAGGGUUUAUCUUCUUUCCUCAGAUGCUGUCCUCAUGGGGAUCUAAAGCUCCCCACAGAACACCAGGCAGGCUUCCGAUGCCCUUGACAUGGAAGCUUUAUGUGCUGAUGCAAAGAAAACUGGGGCACAGGAGCUUGGUCUUUUCUGAGCUGGUGACAGACAGAACAGAGACAGAACAGUGUCUGAAGUUGAGGAGAGCCUCUGACCAAAGCUGCUGUAGAAUAUCAAAGCUUCCUGGAGGAUUCUCACAGUACAAGGGCUGAAUUCUGUGGGAUUUAUAUGGAAACACACCUGUGGGCCUGGAGGAACACCACUGUAUGAGUCAGAGAAGGUGCCCCACUGCAGAGCUGCUCAGAGGCAGGAGGUGUGAAGUAUUUCCAGGAGCCAAGGAAAGCGAUUCCAAACUCAGUGUGAAGAUGGUGCAACUUCCAUGGAUCACAAUGGGGAUCUCUAGCAGGGCCAUGAGAAGCUGGAGGUAACUGGAGCCUAACACAGGAGACACAAAUAACUAAAGAUGCAAGGCAGCUGGAGCCCCAAGAUCCUGGUGGGGAUAUUUCUACCACCAGAGAGCUGCAGUGCUGAUGGAUUAACUCAGGAACACAGACAGUGCUCAGCCAAGAGAGUUGGGAACAGAUGGUACCAAAGGAGCAAGAAAUUCAUCUGAUGCUGCAUCCACCACUGGCAAACAUCCAGCAGUGAGCUCCUGCCCAGCUCAGACCCACCAAAGCUGCCAACUGAUCCAGGCACGAGGAGCUAAGGAAACCUGACCUGGUUAUUUCAUAGAACCCCAGCCUGGUUUGGGUUGGAAGGGACCUUAAAGCUCCUCCAGCUCCAACCCCUGCCACGGGCAGGGACCCCUUCCACUGGAGCAGCUUGCUCCAAGCCCCUGUGUCCAACCUGGCCUUGAGCACUGCCAGGGAUGGGGCAGCCACAGCUUCUCUGGGCACCCUGUGCCAGCGCCUCAGCACCCUCACAGGGAAGAGCUUCUGCCUAAGAGCUCAGCUCAGUCUCCCCUCGGGCAGGUUCAAGCCAUUCCCCUUGGCCUGUCCCUACAGGCCCUUGUCCCAAGCCCCUCUCCAGGUUUCCUGCAGGCCCCUGUUAGGUACAGGAGAAUUGUACCCGUUUUCUCCUGAGUCUUUAGCGUCUCCCACAGUGUGGUCCUGCUUCAGCUGAAGCCGUCAGCCAGGAUCAGCUUCUCACCCAGAUAUGACUAAGCCCUUUGAAAGCCAGAAACGCUCAGGAUUUCUUGCUUAAUUGCUAAACCAGCUCAAUUUGAGUGUGCAGAAUGUAACCAAGAGAGGAACUGACACACCUACCUGGUUCCUGCUCAGCCUGAGGACUUGCUUUAAUGGAUGGCUCACGUUGGUUGAUGAUUUCCACCAAGCAGCAAGGCUGCUGUGCCCCUUGCCUGUAGCAGGGGAGGCAAGGGGCCACGUUCCCUGCAGCCCUCCCCAGGCGACUCCAACCACCUGCGCUUUAGGAGCUGAUACCAUCUUAAACCAAUAACAUAGCUGCUGCAAACCAGCAAGUGUAACCUCCAAAGCUCCAGUUUUAGCUGCAGUGUGGCAUGUCAAGGGCUCACGUCCUCCCCACACCCUGUGACCCCAAGGAUUAAGAGCUGCAUCUUUACCAAAAGGGUUCUUAGCCCCUCAAGUUGUGCACAUCAAUCAGUUCCGAGCUGGUUUUGAUCACUCUGGUCACACACAUGUGAGGAUGGAGCAGAGCCAAGAAACGAGGGUGGCUGAUCCCUGCUGCACAGUGUGAGCAAUCUCCCCCCCCCUUCCUACUCCAGUGAUUUUAUUGGAGCCUCAUCACAUUUCCUGGUGACUCACACUUCGCCGGUGACUGGGACGAAGGGCAUGGCGGUACCAACAGGCACCAUGUCCUAUACCCAUGGAAGUCGUCCCUUUGCACCUCCCGCCACUCAGAGCUCUCUCUCCCCUGUGUUAAGGCUCUGUAGCCCAUGGCUGGCCCUCUCGAAGCAGCAAACACGGUGGCUUUUCCUCUCCCCAUUGGCCCAGGGUACCUGGGCCAUGCACCCACCAUCUCCCUGCCA